CUUUUAAAAGGUGUCCAGUGUGAGGUGCAGCUGGUGGAGUCUGGAGGAGACCUGGUGAAGCCUGGGGGGAUCCCUGAGUCUCUCUGUGCAGCCUCUGGAUUCACCUUCAGUAGAUACUUUAUGAACUGGGUCCGCCAGACUCCAAGGAAUGGGCUGCAGAGGGUCCCAGAUAUUAGCAAUGAUGGAAGUAGCACAAGCUACACAGACUUUGUGAAGGGCCGAUUCACCAUCCCCAGAAACAAUGGCAAGAACAUGCUGUAUCUGCAGAUGAACAGCCUGAGAGCUGAGGACACAGCUGUGUAUUACUGGGUGAGAGACACAGGGAGUUUCAUUUUCUUUUUCCUCUCAUUUGGGUGGGGAACC